AGGGAGGCCUGGUGAGUCAAAGUUGUCUGAGAGACACAAACAAGGGCAGGUGGGAGCUGCCUGAAGGAGAAAGCAAAAAUCCAGAAGGAAGUAGCAGCAGCAGAGGAGAGUUGGUAUAGACAGCCACUGGAGAGACCAAAAAGGUUGAUGAGGCACCACAAAACUGGUAUUCUGCCAGCUAUGUAAUUAAAUACCGUGAAAGGACCAGGUGUGGCUCCUUGAGGCACUGAAAUAGACUGGGUUGCAUGGUUUUUAGCACACUUUCUGAGGAUUCAGAAUUUCCCAAAGAGAUAGCAUCGGUUGAGAGAACACAAAAACUAGUUGUUUGCUACUGUUACUGCCAUCCUGGACAAGAAGUGGGCCAGGAAAGACAAAUACCAGAUGUAAAAGCUGCAACUAGCACUGCUGCAGGGCAACAAGGCAGAAGCACAAAGACAUAGCAGCUGGCACAAGACCUAAUCCAAGUCUCAUUGGAGCAUCACAGUGUGGUGUGGGCUGAAAAGAACAAGGAACUAUGUAGGCAUUUGGAGAUGUGUUCUUUGAGUUCAUAAUCAUCAUCAUCAUCAUCAUCAUUAUAACAACUGUAUGCAAGUUCCAGAAAUGCUUUUAGCUGAGUUGGCAAUUAUGCAGCACUUGUAAUCAUAUAUGCAAGAAAAUCUUGUAAACUUGCCACGCACAUCAGGCUUAAACUUGUGGCACCCAGCAAAAAACAGAGCUUGGUCAACUGGAAGUGGUACCCUACCUGCUAUUGCAGCUGCCAAUAUAAAUCCAUAAUUGUGAUAGUAACAGCAGCAGCAUUGCUCCUCCCUGUAAGUCCCAUUAUGACAUCCUUUCAUGCAAAGAUUAAGUAUAGACACUCUCUCAAAGAACUGUGCAGCAGACCACAAAGCUGAUGGGUGAGAUGAUGUCCCAACAGCCCUUUUCAUCAAUGGAGGACACUGGCUUUGGGCCGCUGAUGGACUAUUACGAGUUCCAAACCGAGAAUGGGAGUCCUUUUUCCUGAUCACUGGUGACUGAUAUUCAUGGGAGCGCCUAAACCUCUACACUUGGAGCUGGGUGUGUGAUACCCAGCUUGAGAAGACAUACUCAUGCUAGCUCUAAUUGAGCUAGUGUGUAAAAAGAGUAGAGUAGUCACAGUAGCAUGGGCAGCAACUUGGGCUAGCCACCUGAGUAUGUACCAUGUGGUCCAGCUGGGUUUGUACUUGGGAUGGCUAGCCCCUCCUCUCACACUCCACCACCUGUGCUAUAGUGGCUAUUCUCCUAUUUUUCAUAGGCUAGCUCCCCAUAGGCUAUAUUUUCAAAGACAGCUAGUGCCAGUAUGUUUCCUCGAGAUGGAAAUUACCGCCUUAACUCCAAGGGUAGACUGUCCCUCUUUUGGGCUGUCCUCAGGAUGAGUUCCAUACAUGCCUGCCUGUCGUGGCAGCUCACAGGAGCUGCCAGUUAAUUCUGUCACCUCUUCCUCCUCUGGUCUUUCCACCACCAGAAUCUAUUCAUCAGCCCUAAUCAGGAUUACAUGGCUAGAAGAUGGGCAAUUUAAGAUCAGUUUCUUUGUCACUGAUAAACAGUGUAAGUGAGAAGAGGAUUAGGAUUGAUAUAUGUACUUGCAGACAUUUCCACAGCUUGGCGAAAGCAAUUAACCAGCUACCGGUAGCUCAGGGUAACUUAGAUAUAUCCCAGUUGCACUCAUUACAGAAGAUGAGCAUAUUCUGAAAUGCUGUGUUGUAUUUGUUGCCUCAGCUGAUUAAGUAAAAGCAGGCUGUGGAACAUGACAUGGAGACAUAAAUACUUAGCAUGACACUAAGCUGCUGUCAGUAGUUAUCAGUGGAGCCUCCAGUCAGGGAUGAAUGAUGUGCUUGCAAACUCAGAUACUGCACAAUAUCAACAGUCUGUCUCAUCUCUUUGAGCAUAUCCUCCAAUGUUACAUGGUUCAUUUCCUGAAACUGGCCAAGAGGAAUUCAGAAGAGAUCCCAACUAAUAUUGUAUCUCUCUGUGUGUAGCCCCUCCCUGGAGGAGUGCCUCAAGCCUGCUCCCUAUUGCUUUCUAACUGGAGUGGCUUCUGUCCCCCACACCCCUUCUUCUUGCAUGGGUUGGGUCCUGGUUUCUUUAUUUCAGUGCCUCCACAUCUCUGUGCCUGGGACACAAAGAAGCUAUCCCUUUUGGAAAAUAACUCCUCCUCCUCCUCCUCCUCUAUUGACAAGGAAUAUAACCUAGUGAAUAUAUGUAUAUUAAUAUGUUAUUAUGUAUAACAUACAAAAUGCAACACAAUACAAUAAUAGAAACCCAAACAAAUGAAAUGCCACCCUCAAAAAGAACAAUAGAACACAGGGAACUUUGCUGAGGAACUAAAGGCUCUAGGGAAGGAAAGGAUUAAAAUUAACUGAAAUGCUAAAACAUCAACAAUAUAACAAAUUCCCAACCUCCCUGCAUUCAUCACUGACUGUACGCAACCCCCUAGCUACCUCCCUAGUACUGUUUCAGGCAGAUGGAACUUGAGGAUAAGUCCUGCAAUGAGUGCUGCAGCACUGUGAACAUUGGUUGCAUUAAACAAAAAGAAAGGGGUUAGGGUUCUUUCCUUGCUCCUGGGGUUGGAUUUCGGUGGAGGUCUUGGUUGGCUGUAGGUACCCAGCACUGCUUUAGUUCUCUGCAUCCCUGAUCUCUGGUCUCUGCAGGGCUGGCACUCCCAUAAACUUCACAAUAAUUCAAAAUCCCUCUUUGUGUGGGGACUGGGAGUUGAUUAGCAACUCCCCAGGGUCUUCCCCUCCUCUUCCAGCUCCAGACUCAAACAACCCAGUGUCAAACCAAAAUUAACCCUUUGGUCUCUGAGGAAGCUUAUCCAUGGCCACUGAGGGAAUUGAUCAGUCCUGGCUCCUCAUUGCCCAGCAAACUGUGUCUAAGUAACUCACUCCAUCCAAAUAUCCCCAUUGGUUUGGACAAGUUUCCAGUCUAUUCUGUCCCUGCCUAGGACCCUAAACCGGCAGGAAAUGGUGUUGGAAGGCUUUUGGAACUAUUGUUGCUGUAAUUCAGAGGCUCCUCUAGACCCUUAGAGGCUCAGCUCUGUGUUCCAGGAGCUUGCAAACUUCAACAGGGGUUGCGUGUAUAAGGCCAAACAUUCUUAAAACUCAGAGUGAUUUCAUUUUCUCUUUCUGGGUUUCCUAGGCACCCUCCCAGGCACAGGUCAGUUUUAAAGACUUUUGCAGCAGCCAUUUCCUAACAUAGUGAAAACACUAUCAAACGGCAAUACCUGCUUAAAUGAGUUGUGGUUUUUACUCUCCCUUUCAUGCUCACAGAAAGCAGUGAUUAAAAUUUUGAAACUUAGUAACUCUCUGGAGGAAAAAAAUGUAUUUGUAUAUGUUAUCUGCUCUGACUUGUUAUAUGUGUCAUGCUGCAUCAAAUUCUGUGUGUCGUCUGUCUGAAGGGACAGUCUGUAUGAGAAGUGACUGAUCUAGUGGAAAAUACAGCAUAAGUAAAAAAAUAUAUAGCUUUGGGAAUAUAUUUGUCUUUGGGUUAUACAACUUUUUAAAAGAAUGUAGUUUCUUAUGAUUUUUCUGAAAGUCAACUGCUACCAACAAACUACCCUGAGUUGCCUGUUCACCUGUGUCUUGGUAGUUUAAAAAACAAACAAACACAGCCACAUGGUUAAACCUGUCCACACUUAACUAGCAAUUUGUCAGUCAUUUUAUAUUCCCUACUAUAAUUUAUACUCAAUGAAUAAUUCAACUAACCCUACUUAAUUAUGAUAUUUAUAACAAAUAAAACAUAGGUUUUGUAUGUUUAUAACUUUAGAUUUUGGAUACAACUGUUCAUUCAUAUUCCCCAAACGUAGGCAGAUUCAUCUGCCUACAUGUGAACAAUCUUGUAUUUCGGGCUCAAAUUAGGCAAAUCAGUGGACAAUUAUACAAUUUGCAUGCACAUAUGAAUGGGCCAGUUUUCUGAACAUGCCAAUGAAUGAUGCACUGGCAAAUUUUGCAGGUGCAUUUGGGGAGAUCCAAUGAUGAUUUGGUCUUUAGUUCAUGCAUAAACUUUUAAUUCCUUAAUCAUCAAUCUUUUAAAAUUUAUUUUAAUGUAAUAUAACCUAUUGACAGUUGUUGGAGGUUAUAAAGACAUGAUAUAAGAGGUUUUGGAGGUAUGAUAUCCAGAGAGUAAGGACAGACCAGUAGCUAGGACAUUGACCUGGGACUUGGGGGAUCCAGGUUCCAUCAGCUUCUCCACCACUUACUUCCUGUGUGACUUUGGGCAAGUCACUUAGUCUCUCUGUUCCAUAUCUGUAAAAUGUGCGAAUUGGUACUUCACGAGAGUGCUGUUAGGCUCAUAGGGUACUAUGGUAAUGGAGGCUAUAUAAGUAUUUAAGACUGAUAGAUAUCUGUGUGACAUUGCACUCUAUAUGAUUUUAUGAAAAUAUGCUAAUGAGUGUGAAUAUAAUGUAACUGGAAUAUGCUUCAUGCAAAAGGUCUCUUGUAAGGUAUCUUACAAAGCU